ACGCUACCAACGAUAUAUUUCAUGAGGGUCGAAUGAUAAAUGAUGCCGAAAAUGGAGACGCAAAACAAAAUUGUGUAAUGAAAAUAGUUGAAGUCAACCAAACUCCCCAUCUAUGCACUAUCGCCGACAGAGACAUUGCAAUUGGCGAGGAACUCCGAUAUGAUUAUGGAGUACCAACACUUCCAUGGAGAAAGGCAACACAAUGACUACUAGAUCUACGGACAGCCAGGAACCAGGAAAAACAACAUCCGUACACACGGAAGAAGUCGAUGAGACGUGUAAGACUUAUACGCUGCCACAAAUUGACAAAUGACGAUGGAGAAUAAGAUGGAUGUUUAACAAAACUGGAAAAAGACCUGUGCCGUUAUUUUUACCGUACAGAGAUUAUUGCAAAACGAGGUCGAAUAUCUGCAGUACUGUUUCCAAGACAGGUGAAAGAAAAUAUCGACCUCCUGAUACGCAGCAGAAAUUCUCUAACAAACUGUUUCAAAAGUAAAUAUCUUUUCGCAACAAAAUCUGCAUCAUCGCAUAUUCGUGGGACAGAUGUAUUACGUUCGAUUGCAAUUGACUGUGGAGCUGAACAUCCGGAAAGGCUUCGUUCUACAAAGUUAAGGAAACAUAUUGCCACAAUGACUCAGCUUUUUAACUUGUCUGAAAAUGAAUUAGACAUUCUAGCUAAAUUUCUUGGUCACGA